GCCGGGAUGGUCUAAUCGGGUUAAGGCGUCGCCCCGGACAGGCUAAGGUUGCGGGCUCAAUCCCCGCUCCUGGCC
rnacentral:tRNA from 1 species